rnacentral:rRNA from 1 species
UACAGAGGGGGCAAGCGUUAUUCGGAAUUAUUGGGCGUAAAGGGCGCGUAGGCGGCCUGACAAGUGGAAGGUGAAAUCCCUCGGCUCAACUGAGGAACUGCCCUCCAAACUGUUUGGCUUGAGACCGGGAGAGGUGAGUGGAAUUCCCAGUGUAGCGGUGAAAUGCGUUGAUAUCAGAAGGAACGCCGGUGGCGAAAGCGACGGACUGGACCUCUUCUGACGCUGAGGCGCGAAAGCGUGGGGAGCAAACAGG